rnacentral:rRNA from 1 species
AGUGAACGCUGGCGGUAGGCCUAACACAUGCAAGUCGAACGGCAGCACAGUAAGAGCUUGCUCUUACGGGUGGCGAGUGGCGGACGGGUGAGGAAUACAUCGGAAUCUACUUUUUCGUGGGGGAUAACGUAGGGAAACUUACGCUAAUACCGCAUACGACCUACGGGUGAAAGCAGGGGAUCUUCGGACCUUGCGCGAUUGAAUGAGCCGAUGUCGGAUUAGCUAGUUGGCGGGGUAAAGGCCCACCAAGGCGACGAUCCGUAGCUGGUCUGAGAGGAUGAUCAGCCACACUGGAACUGAGACACGGUCCAGACUCCUACGGGAGGCAGCAGUGGGGAAUAGUGGACAAUGGGCGCAAGCCUGAUUCAGCCAUACCGCGUGGGUGAAGAAGGCCUUCGGGUUGUAAAGCCCUUUUGUUGGGAAAGAAAAGCAGCAGGUUAAUACCCCGCUGUUCUGACGGUACCCAAAGAAUAAGCACCGGCUAACUUCGUG